GCCUGGGUGGCUCAGUCAGUGAAGCGCCUGACUUUGGCUCAGAUCAUGACCUCACAAUUUGUGGGUUCAAGCCCCACAUCAGGCU
rnacentral:tRNA from 1 species